rnacentral:pre_miRNA from 1 species
GAUUUCAAUUGAAAAAGUCAUCAACAACAAAGAUGUAUAACUCAUUAGGAUCUAUAACAAUUAUUUUGGUCAUUUCUUCAUUCGAUAAAGUGAUAGUAACAUUGUUCACAAAAUUCACAUUUUUCUCAACUGGUUUAUAAACUAUAACACAUAUAUGUCAAUUUUGUGAACAAUGUUACUAGAACUUUGUCGGACGAAGAAAUGACAAACAUAAAACUUAUAGAUCUUGAUGAGUUAUAAAAUUUUGUUGUUGAUGACUUUUUUAGUUGAAAUC